UUAGAGUAAAAUAAAACGCUUUCAAAACCAAAUUCAGCGAAAAGGGGAUUGAACAGAUGGGCACAAUUGUAUGUCAGGAUUGCAAUUCAACAAUCGAUCACUUUGAAGAUGAAAAGGUAACGGUUCUGUAUGCGAAAUGCAAUUGCAGAAAAGGCGGACAAAAAGAGAAAAGCAAUUAGAAUCAGCAUUAAAAAUGAUUUUAUAGAAGAAAGCAUGCAAAAAUUGCAUGCUUUCUUUUUU
rnacentral:sRNA from 1 species